rnacentral:rRNA from 1 species
GACGAACGCUGGCGGCGUGCCUAAUACAUGCAAGUAGAACGCUGAAGGAGGAGCUUGCUCUUCUGGAUGAGUUGCGAACGGGUGAGUAACGCGUAGGUAACCUGCCUGGUAGCGGGGGAUAACUAUUGGAAACGAUAGCUAAUACCGCAUAACAGUAGAUGUUGCAUGACAUUUACUUAAAAGGUGCAAUUGCAUCACUACCAGAUGGACCCGCGUUGUAUUAGCUAGUUGGUGGGGUAACGGCUCACCAAGGCGACGAUACAUAGCCGACCUGAGAGGGUGAUCGGCCACACUGGGACUGAGACACGGCCCAGACUCCUACGGGAGGCAGCAGUAGGGAAUCUUCGGCAAUGGACGGAAGUCUGACCGAGCAACGCCGCGUGAGUGAAGAAGGUUUUCGGAUCGUAAAGCUCUGUUGUAAGAGAAGAACGAGUGUGAGAGUGGAAAGUUCACACUGUGACGGUAUCUUACCAGAAAGGGACGGCUAACUACGUG